rnacentral:rRNA from 1 species
CAGUCGCCACGGUAAUACAGAGGGUGCAAGCGUUAAUCGGAAUUACUGGGCGUAAAGCGCGCGUAGGUGGCUUGUUAAGUUGGAUGUGAAAUCCCCGGGCUCAACCUGGGAACUGCAUUCAAAAUUGACUGACUAGAGUAUGGUAGAGGGUGGUGGAAUUUCCUGUGUAGCGGUGAAAUGCGUAGAUAUAGGAAGGAACACCAGUGGCGAAGGCGACCACCUGGACUAAUACUGACACUGAGGUGCGAAAGCGUGGGGAGCAAACAGGAUUAGAGACCCCCGUAGUCCCUGUCUCUUAUAC